GGUGCCUGAGUGGAGGAUUGAAGGAGCAUGGAGUGGAUGUGCAGGCGGGGAGGUUGACCACAGCACUGGCCGUUGGGGCGUAUGAAUGGGAUGUUGUUGUUGGGUGGGAUGGGGUAUGUCUGGUGGGAGCGUUACAGGAUGGUGGGGGUCUUGCUGCCAUGGAGGCUGUAGAAUUGGAAAAAAAGAAGACACUGCCAAGUUACAGUUAAUGAUGGCAGCCCGGUGGUGCUGCCGUCUUCAUGGGGAUGAUGUGCAGGUGGCACGGUGUAAUCAUGUGCGACAUUGCAUGUGGAGAGUUGCAUCAGGAGUUUGGUAUUGU
rnacentral:lncRNA from 1 species